CACGGUGUAAGGAAUGCUGCCAAUUAAUAAUGGUGUAAGUAGAUCAUAAGGCCCGGAGGAAUGGAGAGGCCGACAGACACUUUUAAGGAGACACACAACCUGGUGGUGGCAAUGGAGGACACCUACGUGGGUGGCCUCGUCUCCAACCUCCAGGUGGCGGAGCUCAUCGGAUGCAUGGCCAACAAUAGGAGGGCGGCCUACUGCAAGGUGGUGGAGGUGAUCGCCGAGACAACCGCGCCGCUGCUGCCAAUGGAGCAGCUCCUCGCCGCCAUCCCUUCCAAGAGGGUAUGUAAUACUCCCUAUAUUCUCUUUUGACGUAGGGAUAUUUCACCUUGACACAAUGAUAAGAAACACAACCAAGCUUAUCAUUUAAUAAAUGUAAAUAAGCCUUUUCUCAUUAGUCCUCCAAUGCUUUCCCUUAAUGACUUCUCGUUAUCUAUGUAAUUUAUUGCCGCGAUCCACAUCAAUGACAAAACCCUAUAAAAAAUAUCCCUCUAAAAAAGAAAAGACUAUUAAGGACGUUUUUUUAUCAGAAGCAUGUGAAUAAAUCAAACCAAACCUAACGAAACCACUCGCAGGAACCCCCCGCCGAGGACGAAACGGAGAAGGUGAAGUCAAUAGCCAAUGGGUGAGCCAAAGCCAGACCCUCCAGCAGAGAGCCGGCGAAAGCAGAGCGACCACUCUCACCGU
rnacentral:lncRNA from 1 species